ACAUGCAUCCUUCCACCUAUUGUACGCGUUCAAUUUUAGUCUUCGGCAAACUGCCAACCAAAUGUGAGCGUACAUGCAACCCAUUAUUGCUCAUCAAACCACGAGAAAUUACUGCACACGGAAAAAAAGGAAACUGAUUGAGGCAUACCAGAAGUUCUACUCGAAUUUUGCUCCGUGUCGUCUCCCCUUCCAAGUUCAAUAUCACGCAUAUCUUUUCCCCUACCUUGCAUCUUUUCUUUCCCUUCUCCAUCUCAGUCGCCACAAUUGGAUCGCUCCUCCAUACCCACCAGCCAUCGCCUCGCCAAUCGCCAUCUCCACCAGGUGAUAAUCUCGCCACCACUGCCCGCUCAGCGAAAUUCAUGGAGCGGUACUAUUCAAUGAAUCCGGCCGACGCUUUCAUGGUCGUAUUCAUGAUCUGUCGUCGCUGCUGCAAAGGGCAUGCAAUCAAGGAUACAUGAGGCAUUGAGGCCCACGUCAAGGAGGCAUAUGGUGAUGAUUUCAACGAAUUGGACCUAAUCCUUGGGGAUUUACUGGUCGUGCCUUUGAUCGAUUGGGUUGGUCUGUUCCUGAUAUUCUUAUCCGCGCCGGUAAACAAUCUAUUUACUUUGCACUCUUCUCCUGGAGUUGCUUUGUAUCAACGUUUCCGCUUAUUGCUUUUCAGUUCCUGAUAUUCUCGGUUCUCAUGAAGAUUACAGUGAAGCGUAUUGUUCAUACUUUAGUUUUUGAUUGUGUAUUUGGCUGAAAAAAUUUCUGCCCUGAAUGACUAAUGAACUUCACGGAAAUUGGAAGGUUAUAGUUUCAUACUAGCUUACCCCGUGUGGCGGCACGUCGCGCCCGUCGAUACGGUGUGGUUAUAUGGAUUAUGUUUCUUCUUUGUAAUAAGUGUUGUUAUUUUAGGAUGCCAGAUGAUCGCAUGAAAAACUAUGGAUGUUGGAAAAAAAAGAUGAGAGGAUGAUGCAUGUGAACAAACAGGGGAAUACACGAUGACACAUCUCUAGUAGGGAUGAUUUUUUUUGCCGAACGUGGUGCGAGUCAUUGCCAGAUUAGAUCAUCUGGUGUAGCCUCCCAUUGGAUUAGCUCCUAUGAUGAAGUAGUAGAGAGACACAAAUAGUCGGAAUUAUAUAUACACCGUAUGUAGUUAAUAAUUUUUUUCCUUCUUUCAUACACUUUUUUUACUAUCACCGAGAAAUGACUGAGCCAAGCAGGUGGCCAAUCUCGUGCACCGUCGCCAACUACUCUAGGGAAGCGAUCGUGUCCAGCGACGUCAGGGACAUGUCGCCGGCGGUCACCCAUGCCUUUGAGGCGCCCAAGUGGAACCAGCUCGCCGGUGUGUCCGUCGGUCGUCGAACACCUCGCUGUCCCGUGGUGGACGUCCACAACCUCCACAUGGUAGCGACAAUGAUGCAGUUUCUCGCUCAGCGGAGUAGCAGCGACGGAGGCUGGACGCAGCUCCUCCCCGGCAAGCUUGGAGGUGCAGCGUGGGGAGAGCCCGCGGGAAGCCACUCUGAACCUUGGAGCGCGGCUCCACAGCUCGUGAUGUCUGAGCUUGUUCCGUACUGCACGUCGAAGAAAGGAGGAGCCUAGGAGGGAGGGGCAUGCCCGGCGAGGCGGUAAACGAAGCUCAUUUCCAUCCCACAUGAGAGAAGCGGAGAGAGGCUUGAUGUUUUGCGCCGACGCUAUUUCUCGGUGUGGUGCUUCGGUUGAGAUUCAGGAUGUAAAUGGUCAGUCCGCUGGAUGUUGUGGGACUGCCCGCACUGGCCACAACUUUUUAUGUGGGAUUACGCGGGAGCCCAGUUAAUUUUUAUGUGGGGCAUGUGGCGUCCACAUACUGCCGCAUAUAUUUACAAAGCUUAGACUGGAUAAGCUGACAUACAAAGGAUCAUUGGAACUUCCACACUGACAUACAAAGCAUGUGGCGUCUGGAAGUAUAUACAUAUGUACAGGAAGUAUGACAAAAACAAAUGGCAGUAGAUACAAAGUGAAAAUGGCAAACAGUGGAUAAUAUUAGCCCACAUUGACGUAACGAUCGCUACUAAUUAUCACUAGUGAGUUCGAGCUUCAUUCAGUAGUCGCCUCUAGAAUAACAAAAUCCACAAAGCAGCGGCAACUUAACUAAAAACGCCUAUCAAAGCAGCAGAAAUAUCUCCUGUAUGUGAACAAAAAGGAAUAUGCAACACACUCCUCAUCCUCCAUAUCCCAAAAUUAACAGAAAGCACCUAGAGUCCUAGACUCAAAACGGCACCAAAUGAUAAAACUAUCAGCUAAGAGCAUCUUCCAUUCUUUUGUCAGCUUUGUGUCGGGCGACCUUUGUACACCAAGCUAUGCUCACUGGUCUUUCACUUGAUUAAUCGGAAUCAGAAUGGUCCCAGGAUUGGCCUCAUCUUCGGUCCACUCAACUGUU